UGGGGAAUAUUGCACAAUGGGGGAAACCCUGAUGCAGCGACGCCGCGUGAGCGAUGAAGGUUUUCGAGUCGUAAAGCUCUGUCCUAUGGGAAGAUAAUGACGGUACCAUAGAAGAAAGCCCCGGCUAAUUACGUGCCAGCAGCCGCGGUAAUACGUAAGGGGCGAGCGUUGUCCGGAAUUAUUGGGCGUAAAGAGUGCGUAGGCGGCAAAUUAAGUCAGAUGUGAAAACUAAGGGCUCAACCCAUAGAUUGCAUCUGAAACUGAUAUGCUUGAGUCAAGGAGAGGAAAGUGGAAUUCCUAGUGUAGCGGUGGAAUGCGUAGAUAUUAGGAGGAAUACCGGUGGCGAAGGCGACUUUCUGGACUUGAACUGACGCUGAGGCACGAAAGCGUGGGGAGCAAACAGG
rnacentral:rRNA from 1 species